rfam:Daphnia pulex DAPPTscaffold_591_Cont10124, whole genome shotgun sequence.
GAUAGUGUGGCCGAGUAGCUUAUAGCGAUGGUUUUAGGCACCAGUCUCUUCGGAGGCAAGGGUUCGAAUCACUUCGCUGUCA